CUCCACACCACCACCACCACCACCCACUUACGGCCCUCCACCACCACCACCACCACCACCACCACCACCACAUGCCUACGGUGAAAAGGAAGUGAUCGAGAUUGUGGUUGACGAGAAGGAGGGACCUGACGGGUACGGCAACUACAAAUUCAAUUUUGAGGGCGCAAACGGCAUCACCCGGAAGGAGGAAGGCGCCCCCUCAGGAGACACUGGCGCCGUGGGAACCAAGGGAGAAUGGGCAUUCACCUUCCCUGACGGCACCCCAGGAGUCUUCAACUUCGUGGCCGACGCUGCAGGUUACCAGGUACAGUCUGACCUGCUGCCCACGCCCCAUCCUCUCCCCGCCCAUGCCAUCGCCCAGAUCGAAUUCGCUCGUCAGGAGGACGCCGCCGCCGCUGCAUCCCAACAAUAUGCUCCUCCACAGCCACCACCCACCUACGGCGGGCGAUAGACGUCCUGACUGACACUACAGUAGAUGUUUGGUACCUCGGCUGUGGAGUACCUCUGCUGUGGAGUACCUCGGCUGUGUGGUACCUCGGCUGUGUGGUACCUCAUCUGUGUGGUAGCCUUAGACUUACAUCUACCUGGAGUUAGCUCCCCGUGUUUCUUUUGUUUAGCUACAUGGAAUUUUACUUAUCGCUAUUCCUAGCUGUCAGAGACCCCGCUUAGCUACCUCAAGGAUUCCUACUAUCCCUUCAACGUAGAUGCCUGUGGAGCUCAUACUCGUACACAGGACUUUGCAGGGCCCCUUGAUGUUCGCAGAGAUCCUGGUGCUCAAAAAGUCCAAUCUAUCCUAGUCCUCCGACGUCCUACGAGUAUCUGUCUUGUAAACUCAGGUGAUGUAAGCUUGUUAGGUCUUUAUAAGCUGCCUGAUUCUUGGACUGUAUCUGCCUCAUGCUUUAGAUUUUUCUGCUACCAGCUCUAAGGCUCUGGCAAACGAAGACCCUCUUUAACUGGGACUCCUACGUCUACUACGGGAUCACUGCUUGCUGAUAAGGAUAUUUAUCUUAUUUAUAUGUAUAUUUGCUUAUAUGUAUUGUACGAUCAUUCCAUUAUCUAAUAUAAAAUUGCAUUGAUUAAAAA